UACUACAUCGUAGUGUUUGCUUCUUUUGUCUUCUGUGUUUUUUGCUUCCUCCUCCACUUACGCCAUGAUGACUUCCAAUGAGCAGAUACAAAGCAACGAGGCGCCGACUCCCGAGCUGCCGGACGAGCUCGUUUCAGAGAUCCUGACCCGACUGCCGAUCAAGUCUCUCCUCCGUUUUAAGUGCAUCAGCAAGGCCUGGCGCGCAACCAUAUCCGACCCCUCCUUCGUCCAAGGACACCUCAAUUUAUCCGCCCGCAGAUGGAAGCAGAACCCAUCUUUGCUCAUCACCGGGCAUAGCCUGGAUCACGAUAACAAAGGAAACAUCGGGUUCUACCAAUGGCAGCAAGGCGCCUCCGAGGCAUGGCUCGUGCACAGCGGGGACUUUACCGGCAAGUUCCACUUGCCUCGCUUCUUCCCCCAUUGUGACGGCUUGGUGCUUUUUCCCACAAACACAAAGGCGUACCUCUUCAACCCCGCCACCAGGGACGUCGUCACACUGCCGGAGAGUGGCCACGGCAACGUGCCCCCUUCCCUCUGCUCCAUUGGGUUAGGCCGAGAUCUUCGCACGGGCAUGUACAAAGUAGUCCAGUUCUUCAUUCGUUCGAGAGACAAUAAAUUCUACAACGGGGUGGAGGUGUGCACCGUGGGCGACUCUGCUCCUCGAUGGAGGGAAGUCAUGGCGGAUAGGUGGUACCACGCCAAUCCGUGGGUGAACGCGCAAUCUGUGAAUGGGUGUGUGUACUGGAUCGUCCACGUCAGUACCAACCUAGAGUUGAACCCACCCUGCCUCCUCCGCUUCAGCUUGGAUGAUGAGGCGUUGAGCGUCACCCAUUUGCUUUCUGAUUUGUCGGACCUCGGGAUCGACGGCGGCAACAAAGAUGUUGAACACUUGAACAUGAGUGUGUUGCAUGGGAAGUUGUGUCUAACCGGUUAUCGCGUCAGUGAGACUAGUGACGUGCAUCGGCUGGUGAUGGUCUGGGCGCUCGUGGAAGAUGGGGCCAACUCCAUGUGGGAACCGCGUUACGCGUUGCAUGGAAUGGGCCCGUGCCAGCCAAUCGCUCUUCUUCCGGGCACGCUGAUGCUACGGUCCAAUGUCAAGUUGUGCCUCUACGAUCUGCAGACACGUGAGCUGACAAAUGCUUGUGAAUUGAGUAGGUUGAGAUACCAAUGUCAUGGGUUAGUUGAACUCGAGCCUGCUUGGAAGGAUGUGUACUUCUUCAACGUGAUACCCUACAUGGAAAGUCUUGUUCCCGUCGGCGCUCAUCGGGCCUCAACUUCUCCUCAUGCGGGAGUGCCACCAUGAACGGAUGAGAUUAAAUAUGGAAGCUCAUAGUCAUAGGUUAGUUCAUUCUUCUGUUUGGUUCAGUUGUCCAGAUGAUUUUUGUAAAUACAGGCCAGUGUGUUCUGAAAAAUAAUAAUCUAUCAAGCACAUUACUUGCUUCGACAAAAAAUUCUGAAAAUUCUAGAAGAUCAUCGCUUGCGGCAGAACCAGUUUGUGUAUUUUGUUCAUUUUUAUCACCUGUGCUUAAUUUGACGGCCCAGUCGUGGCCUUCCCUUUGGGCCUUGGAUCUAUUUGCUGUGGGAGACGGGAAGCUUAAGCUUGAGGCCCAGCCCAGCCCAGCAAACAGGACAGCCACCGCCUGCCUGCGGAAGCCGCCGCCACGCCACGCCGGAAUCCCUCUCCCUCCACCGCGCCGAGCUCCCCACAAAACACCGUCCCGGACGCACGCCUCUCCAAGUCCGCCGGCCCCCGACCGACGCCCUCUCCGACGAGUACGAGCAGGCCAGACCUCUCUCCACCACGCCGGCCGGAUCCCCGCCGCCGCUGACCUCCUUCGCCUCUCCCCUCGUCUCCCUUCCGCCACCAUGCUUCUGGGCGACAAGGCUGUACUGAAGCAGCAAGGAGGCGGCGAGGAGGAGGAGAUGGGAGGUGACGGGAUGAGUGCAAGUGAGCUUGUUAGCAAGGAGAUGGAGGGCGUCCGUGCCAUCGUGCUCAAGCCGUCCGAGUCCCUCGACGAGUCGCGAUUCAUGAAAAUCGCCGGCGCCGACUUCAACGACGCCGGCCUCGGCCUCGACGGCCUUCUUGGCUCCCUCGCCUCCACGGGGUUCCAGGCGUCCAACCUCGCCGACGCCAUCGACGUCGUCAAUCAGAUGAUUGGAGCUUGUCGCAUGAGAAGCCAAGCGAGGACUGCGAUGAAGCUGAACUUGACCCGAAAUACAGAGAAUCUGUCAGGUGCAAGAUAUUUCUUGGUUUCACCUCAAACCUUGUUUCUUCCGGUAUACGGGAUGUUAUACG